AAAGCCAAGAUGGAUCAACUUGAGUUAGACGCGGUUACUCCAUUGUAUGAAGGAUGCAGGCCCGAGGAUACCCGCCUGAAAGUAACGCUCAUGGCCCUGGAGAUGAAGGUAAAACACAAAAUGACCGACGCAUGCUUCGACGAGAACAUGUCAUUCUGGCACGAACGUCUUCCCAAGGGGAACAAGUGCCCGACCAAUUUGGAGGAGGCGAAGAAAAUCGUGUAUCCUCUGGAUUUACCGCACGUGAAAUACCAUGUGUGCAUGAACAAUUGCAUCAUUUAUCGGGACGAGCACGCGGAGUCUACCAUAUGUCCGGUGUGCGGCGUCACUCGAUACAAGAAG
rnacentral:rRNA from 1 species